rnacentral:lncRNA from 1 species
GUUUUUCCUGGUAUUAAUAUUGAUUUUGUUAUCAGAAAAUUAAAAGCAAACUAAAUAUUACUGUUAUAUACAUAUACAGAUUCAAAGAUCUAUAAUCUGUCUAAACCUGUAUCUUGGCAUUAUACAGUCAUGUUUUCCUCUGACUGUUUAAAUGACUUCUUUACACUAAAUCCAUUGGAUGUUGGAUGUGUACUGAUUGAUAAUUUAGUCCAAGAUCGAGAUUUUUUUAUUAGAUGAUAGUGGCUUUAAACUAGCUGCCAGUAGCUGUGAGUACUCUCAGAUCUGCACUUAGCUGUCUUUUUGUUGUUGGGAUAAAUAAACAAGUACCCAGCCAUGUCUACUCUGUGUUGUAUUUCUAUUUGUAUCAUUUGAUGAGUUAAGCCUUUUUCAACUGAUUUUUAUAGUUUAUUCUUAUGUUGUACUUUCACACCACUGUCCCAAGUUAGAGGGAGGGUUUGGAUCUCGCUUACAUGUUGAACCCCACUCCCACACAUUCUGUACAAAUGUGCCUGUCAGGAGCCUGUUAUUCAGUUGUUAAUGUUUGUUGAUGUGUUACAUAUUAUUUUUUUUCGUUAAUUUUUUUGUACUUAAAUUAGGUGGUUUGUUUUCUUGUUUGAAAUGUUUUACAUUUGUCAUUUCACGGCCUUUUAUAGCUGACUGUAUGGUAUGGGCUUUGCUCAUUGUUGAAGGUUGUACGAUUAACUAUAGUCAUGAUCAUGUCAGAUGAUAGUUGUUAAUUUCUUUGUCAUUUGGUCUCUUGUGGAGAGUUGUCUCAUUGGCAAUCAUACCACAUCUUCUUUUUUUAUAUUUGGGACAUUCAAGGAAACAAUUCUUUUAAAAAUAUUUGUUCUGCAAUGAUUUUCAAACUUGUCUAAAAUAUUGAUGACAUAAAACUUAACAUAAAUUUCAUAACAAGAGUGCACACACUGAAAUGUCUCUACUUCUUUACUAAUCAUUGAUAUUAUGUUGAUGGUCCUAAAU